CAGUGCGGGAUGUUUGCUAGGCAGCUGAGCUCGAAGCCUCUGAUUGGCGAAGGCGUUGCUAAGGCAAACAGUGCCGCUUCCUCCGAUUGGCCAGUUAGUGAAGGGCCACCCGGAAGGUGGGGCUCCCCAGAGGAGCAAUGGAGGAAGCCCCGCCCCCUCUCCUUACCGGGAAGAGGAAGGGGGAGGCGUAACUAGGGCCAGCAUCCCUAGCAGCAGCGAAUACACUCCCUAAACGUGCCCAGGCCCGGACAUCCUGAAGAGUAGCAUCUGGAAUGAUGCGAGAGGAGACGGGGGCUAGAUUAGCAGCUACCACCCUUCCAUGAGCCCAGGAAGGAAACCAAGGGUGGCCCCAUGAAUGGUAUCCUUACUCUCCCAAAAGUUCCACAACCCACCUUGGAAGCAGCUCUGGUUUCUAUAGGGGACAGAAAUAAACACUAUCCAAUGUC